UAGAAAGUAGUUUAAUUUUAAAACUUUAUCUUUGGAAGAUAAGAAUCAGUGUAAUAUCUGUUUUCUGG
rnacentral:tRNA from 1 species